rnacentral:rRNA from 2 species
UGGGGGAUAUUGCACAAUGGGCGCAAGCCUGAUGCAGCGACGCCGCGUGAGGGAUGACGGCCUUCGGGUUGUAAACCUCUUUCAGUUGGGACGACGCCUUUCGGGGUGACGGUACCUUCAGAAGAAGCACCGGCUAACUACGUGCCAGCAGCCGCGGUAAUACGUAGGGUGCGAGCGUUAUCCGGAAUUAUUGGGCGUAAAGAGCUCGUAGGCGGUUUGUCACGUCUGCUGUGAAAGCUCGGGGCUUAACCUCGAGUUUGCAGUGGGUACGGGCAGGCUAGAGUGCAGUAGGGGAGACUGGAAUUCCUGGUGUAGCGGUGAAAUGCGCAGAUAUCAGGAGGAACACCGAUGGCGAAGGCAGGUCUCUGGGCUGUUACUGACGCUGAGGAGCGAAAGCAUGGGGAGCGAACAGG